rnacentral:rRNA from 1 species
GAUGAACGCUGGCGGCGUGCUUAAUACAUGCAAGUCGAGCGAACAGACGAGGCGCUUGCUCCUUUGACGUUAGCGGAGGACGGGUGAGUCACACGUGGAUAACCUACCUAUCAGUCUGGGAUAACUUCGGGAAACCGGCGCAUAUACCGGAUAAUAUAUUGAUCCGCAGGGUUGAAUAGUGAAAGUCGGUUUUGGUGGCUGUAAUCGCUGGAUCCGCGCCGGAUUAGGUAGUUGGUACGGUAAAGGCUUACCAAGGCAACGAUGCGUAUACGACCGGAGAGGGUGAUCGGCCACACUAGAGGUGAGACACGGUCCAGACGCCUACGGGAGGCAGCAGUAUGGAAUGUUACGCAGUGGGCGAGAGCCUGACGGAGCAGCGCCGCGUGUGUUAUGGAGGUCUUCGGAUCGUAAUACUCUGUUAUGAGGGAAGAACAAAUGUGUAAGUAACUAUGCACGUCUUGACGGUACCUAGUCAGAAAGCCACGGCUAACUACGUG